CUAUUGAUGAAGAGUCCCAAACUAGGACGAAACAGCUGUCCAGUAC
rnacentral:hammerhead_ribozyme from 1 species